rnacentral:rRNA from 1 species
AAACAUGUCUUUUUGAUAAUGAUUUAAAGUCUAAUCUGCCCACUGAUNAAAUUAUUAAAGGGCUGCAGUAUUUUGACUGUACAAAGGUAGCAUAAUCAUUAGUCUCUUAAUUGGUGACUUGUAUGAAGGAUUGGAUGAGAUAUAUACUGUCUCUAAUUAAUUUAUAAAAUUUAAUUUUUUAGUAAAAAAGCUAAAAUAAUUUUAAAAGACGAGAAGACCCUAUAGAGUUUAAUAAUUUAUUUAAUUAUUAUUAAUAUAUAAAUUUUAAAAUUAAAAUUAAAUAAAUUAUUUUAUUGGGGUGAUAGAAAAAUUAAAUUAACUUUUUUUUUAUAUUAAACAUUAAUUUAUGAUUAUAUGAUCCAUUAUUAUUGAUUAUAAGAAAAAAUUACCUUAGGGAUAACAGCGUAAUUUUUUUUUUUAGUUCAAAUAGGAAAAAAAGUUUGCGACCUCGAUGUUGAAUUAAGAUAAAAUUUAAAUGCAAA